rnacentral:rRNA from 1 species
UACGGAGGGUGCAAGCGUUAUCCGGAUUCACUGGGUUUAAAGGGUGCGUAGGCGGAUAGGUAAGUCCGUGGUGAAAUCCUGCAGCUUAACUGCAGAACUGCCGUGGAUACUAUCUAUCUUGAAUGUCGUGGAGGUUAGCGGAAUAUGUCAUGUAGCGGUGAAAUGCUUAGAUAUGACAUAGAACACCCAUUGCGAAGGCAGCUAACUACGCGAUAAUUGACGCUGAUGCACGAAAGCGUGGGGAGCAAACAGG